rnacentral:ribozyme from 13 species
AACAAAAAAGAAAAAAAAAUGCUUGCUUAAUUUUACUUUUUGUUUGUCUGUUUUUGUUGUUGUUGCUCCAUCUCUCUCU